rnacentral:lncRNA from 1 species
GGUGGCUGGGGAGGAGGCUCCUUCCCCAUGAGCCCAAGGCUGCCCUGGAGGAAGAGUCAGGGCCCAGGCCUGCUCCUGUUUUCCUCUGGGCAAGGGUUAUGCCUGCUGGGUGACCUGCAGAUUCCUGAGAAGCUGAGUUCCAUCUCCAGCACCUCCCCUGCAGGACACACAGUGAGUCAGCCACUGUCAGCCUCUGCUGGGUCUGAAUGCUGUGAAUAAGGUGGCCUUUGCAGCCACAUGCCUUGCACGCACCUUCAUCAGCCCUCUUUCCACAAGUCUUACUUACACCUGUGAUGCAGCACAUAAAGAAAGCUGGCCCUCAGAUAACACAAGCAAUGGCCCUUCUCACUCACCAACUCAAGCAACGGUGCAUCUCCACCUGGUAUUGUGGU